GUCCACGCGGUAAACGAUGAAUACUAGGUGUGGGUGGAGUGAAAUCCAUCUGUGCCGAAGCAAACGCGCUAAGUAUUCCGCCUGGGGAGUACGGCCGCAAGGCUAAAACUCAAAGGAAUUGACGGGGGCCCGCACAAGCAGCGGAGCGUGUGGUUUAAUUCGAUGCGACACGAAGAACCUUACCUGGGUUUGACAUCUGCGUAGUAGUGAACUGAAAGGGGAACGACUCUUCGGAGAGCGCAGACAGGUGCUGCAUGGCUGUCGU
rnacentral:rRNA from 1 species